UACGUAGGGUGCGAGCGUUGUCCGGAAUUAUUGGGCGUAAAGAGCUCGUAGGCGGUGUGUCGCGUCGGCCGUGAAAACCUGGGGCUCAACUCUGGGCGUGCGGUCGAUACGGGCAUCACUGGAGUUCGGCAGGGGAGACUGGAAUUCCUGGUGUAGCGGUGAAAUGCGUAGAUAUCAGGAGGAACACCGGUGGCGAAGGCGGCUUUCUGGACGACAACUGACGCUGAGACGCGAAAGCGUGGGGAGCAAACAGG
rnacentral:rRNA from 1 species